CUCGUUCCCUACAUGAGGCUCUUCGAACACCCGGAUUUCAUGCAUACAGCUUAAGAGCUUCACCGGUCAUGAUCUGUUUGAAAACCUAAGAGUUGCCAUUUCCUCGUUUUCUUGAAUAUGUUGCUUUGCAAAUUGACCAGGAAAGUCC